rnacentral:rRNA from 1 species
UACGUAGGCAGCGAGCGUUGUUCGGAGUUACUGGGCGUAAAGCGUGCGUAGGCGGUUGUCUAAGUUUGGUGUGAAAUCUCCUGGCUUAACUGGGAGGGUGCGCCGAAAACUGGGUGACUGGAGUGUCGGAGAGGUAAGCGGAAUUCCAGGUGUAGCGGUGAAAUGCGUAGAUAUCUGGAGGAACACCGGUGGCGAAGGCGGCAGUCCUGGACCGGCAUUGACGCGUGAGGAGCGAAAGCCAGGGGAGCAACGGG